rnacentral:lncRNA from 1 species
GGAAUGAAACCGAGAGAGAGGGAGUCUCAGGCGUGAAACAGAGAGGAAAGAAAGAAAGAAAAAGAGAAGAAGAAGAAGAAGAAAGAAGAAGAGGAAGGGGAUUCGAGAGGGAAAGGGAUCCCGGUUGCGCUGCCAGCUGAAGGGAAAAGUGUAGAUCUCCUUCUCUUCUACGCAAGGACCUAAGUUUCACAAGAAGAAAAAGGUAAAUACCCAUCCCUACCUAGUAUUCUAAAGAAUUUAUGCUAUAGAAAGGGUAGAUGAUAGUUGUAAAGGGUGUUAAAAGGGGAAGAAUCGGAUUUCGACAAAUUUUUUCCGGCACUACGAAAAAAAUCGUGUCAAAGUCCCAACUUUGGCAAAUUAUUUAGGGGAUCAAACGGCCUCCGAUAGUGAUGCAUGUUACCUUUUUGGAAUCCCCUAUGAGUGUAGAAUGUUAGGUAAAAAUUUCAUCAAAUUUGGAGUCUAGAAAGUGGAUCAAACCCAAGAUGAAGUAACCGGCUGUCGGUCCGGGUUACUGUUCAUCCGAGUAGGAAAAUAGGGGAUUUCAUGCCAUAAUAGGAUAUUAAGCCCAGAUUAAGCUAAGGGGACCUUGUACUCAUGCAAGGGAGUCCCUAAUACACAUAAAUGGUGAGUUAAUUAAU